GCAUAUCAAUAAGCGGAGGAAAAGAAACCAACAGGGAUUGCCUCAGUAACGGCGAGUGAAGCGGCAACAGCUCAAAUUUGAAAUCUGGCCUCUUUGGGGUCCGAGUUGUAAUUUGUAGAGGAUGUUUCGGGUACCGCCUCGGUCUAAAUUUCUUGGAACAGAAUGUCAAAGAGGGUGAGAAUCCCGUCUUGGACCGGCGGUAGGGCCCAUGUGAAACUCCUUCGACGAGUCGAGUUGUUUGGGAAUGCAGCUCAAAAUGGGUGGUAAAUUUCAUCUAAAGCUAAAUAUUGGCCAGAGACCGAUAGCGCACAAGUAGAGUGAUCGAAAGAUGAAAAGCACUUUGAAAAGAGAGUUAAACAGUAUGUGAAAUUGUUGAAAGGGAAGCGCUUACAACCAGACUUGAGCGCGGCGGUUCCCCCUUCCUUUUGGUUGGGUUACUCCGCCGUGUCCAGGCCAACAUCGGUUCUGGGGGUCGGUCAAAGGCUUUGGGAAUGUAUCUACCCUUCGGGCGUAGACUUAUAGCCCAGAGUGUCAUGCGGCCUCCCGGGACCGAGGAACGCGCUUCGGCUCGGAUGUUGGCGUAAUGGUUGUCAGCGACCCGUCUUGAAACACGGACCAAGGAGUCUAACAUCUAUGCGAGUGUUUGGGUGUCAAACCCGGAACGCGAAAUGAAAGUGAACGGAGGUAGGAAGCCGUGAGGCUGCACUAUCGACCGAUCCUGAUGUCUUCGGAUGGAUUUGAGUAAGAGCAUAGCUGUUGGGACCCGAAAGAUGGUGAACUAUGCCUGAAUAGGGUGAAGCCAGAGGAAACUCUGGUGGAGGCUCGCAGCGGUUCUGACGUGCAAAUCGAUCGUCAAAUUUAGGUAUAGGGGCGAAAGACUAAUCGA
rnacentral:rRNA from 1 species